rnacentral:rRNA from 1 species
AGAGUUUGAUCCUGGCUCAGAAUGAACGCUGCCGGUAGGCUUAACACAUGCAAGUCGAACGGAAACGAUGAAAAGCUUGCUUUUCAGGCGUCGAGUGGCGGACGGGUGAGUAACGCGUGGGAAUCUACCCUAUAGUUGGGGACAACAUAUGGAAACGUAUGCUAAUACCGAAUAUGCUCUACGGAGUAAAGGUGCCCUCUCCUUGGAAGGUAUCGCUAUAGGAUGAGCCCGCGUUAGAUUAGCUAGUUGGUGAGGUAAAGGCUCACCAAGGCCACGAUCUAUAGCUGGUUUGAGAGGAUGAUCAGCCACACUGGGACUGAGACACGGCCCAGACUCCUACGGGGAGGCAGCAGUGGGGAAUAUUGCRCAAUGGACGCAAGUCUGAUGCAGCCAUACCGCGUGUGUGAAGAAGGCCCGAGGGUUGUAAAGCACUUUNAGCAGGGAGGAAGAUNAUAGUAUUAAUNCUGCUAUUGUUGGACGUUACCUACAGAAGAAGCACCGGCUAACUCUGUGCCAGCAGCCGCGGUAAUACAGAGGGUGCAAGCGUUAUUCGGAAUUACUGGGCGUAAAGCGCGCGUAGGCGGAUGAUUAAGUCAGUUGUGAAAGCCCUGGGCUCAACCUNGGAACUGCAUNUGAUNUCUGGUCAUCUAGAGUUUAAGAGAGGGAAGUGGAAUUCCAGGUGUAGCAGUGAAAUGCGUAGAUAUCNGGAGGAACAUCAGUGGCGAAGGCGACUUCCUGGCUUAAAACUGACGCUGAGGUGCGAAAGCGUGGGUAGCGAACGGGAUUAGAUACCCCGGUAGUCCACGCCGUAAACGAUGUCAACUAGUNGUUGGUCUUAUUAAAAAGAUUAGUAACGUAAGCUAACGCGAUAAGUUGACCGCCUGGGGAGUACGGUCGCAAGAUUAAAACUCAAAGGAAUUGACGG